rnacentral:rRNA from 1 species
UGGGCAACCUGCCCCUAGCUCUGGGAUAACUCCGGGAAACCGGGGCUAAUACCGGAUAUGACCACGGUGGACAUCCACUGUGGUGGAAAGCUCCGACGGCUAGGGAUGGGCCCGCGGCCUAUCAGCUUGUUGGUGGGGUAACGGCCCACCAAGGCGACGACGGGUAGCCGGCCUGAGAGGGCGACCGGCCACACUGGACUGAGACACGGCCCAGACUCCUACGGGAAGCA